ACGAACGCUGGCGGCGUGCUUAACACAUGCAAGUCGAACGGAGAUAGUUUGAAAGCUUGCUGAUAACUAUCUUAGUGGCGCACGGGUGAGUAACACGUGGGCAACCUGCCCGGAAGACUGGGAUAACACCUCGAAAGGGGUGCUAAUACCGGAUACCUUCACGAAGUCGCAUGACUUUGUGCAGAAAGAAAUUCGCUUCCGGAUGGGCCCGCGUCCCAUUAGCUAGUUGGCGAGGUGACGGCUCACCAAGGCGACGAUGGGUAGCUG
rnacentral:rRNA from 1 species